ACGCACGCUUGCGGCAUGCCUCACCCCUGCCAGUCGCACGCUUGCCUUCGGGUGAUAGUGGCGCACGGGUGCGUAACGCGUGGGAAUCUGCCCUUAGGUUCGGAAUAACAGCUGGAAACGGCUGCUAAUACCGGAUGAUAUCGCGAGAUCAAAGAUUUAUCGCCUGAGGAUGAGCCCGCGUUGGAUUAGGUAGUUGGUGGGGUAAAGGCCUACCAAGCCGACGAUCCAUAGCUGGUCUGAGAGGAUGAUCAGCCACACUGGGACUGAGACACGGCCCAGACUCCUACGGGAGGCAGCAGUGGGGAAUAUUGGACAAUGGGCGCAAGCCUGAUCCAGCAAUGCCGCGUGAGUGAUGAAGGCCCUAGGGUUGUAAAGCUCUUUUACCCGGGAAGAUAAUGACUGUACCGGGAGAAUAAGCCCCGGCUAACUCCGUG
rnacentral:rRNA from 1 species